rnacentral:rRNA from 1 species
AUGGCUGUCGUCAGCUCGUGUCGUGAGAUGUUCGGUUAAGUCCGGCAACGAGCGCAACCCACAUCCCUAGUUGCCAGCAGUUCGGCUGGGCACUCUAUGGAAACUGCCGGUGAUAAGCCGGAGGAAGGUGUGGAUGACGUCAAGUCCUCAUGGCCCUUACGGGUUGGGCUACACACGUGCUACAAUGGCAGUGACAAUGGGAUAAUCCCAAAAAGCUGUCUCAGUUCGGAUUGGGGUCUGCAACUCGACCCCAUGAAGUCGGAAUCGCUAGUAAUCGCGUAACAGCAUGACGCGGUGAAUACGUUCCCGGGCCUUGUACACACCGCCCGUGGGGCGGGGGCGGCGGGCCGGGCGCGGGGCGCGGCGGGCG